rnacentral:rRNA from 1 species
UACGGAGGGGGCUAGCGUUGUUCGGAAUUACUGGGCGUAAAGCGCGCGUAGGCGGAUCAUCAAGUCGGGGGUGAAAUCCCGGGGCUCAACCCCGGAAUGGCCUUCGAGACUGGUGGUCUUGAGUUCGAGAGAGGUGAGUGGAAUUCCGAGUGUAGAGGUGAAAUUCGUAGAUAUUCGGAGGAACACCAGUGGCGAAGGCGGCUCACUGGCUCGACACUGACGCUGAGGUGCGAAAGCGUGGGGAGCAAACAGG